rnacentral:tRNA from 1 species
GCCCUCAUAGUUAAAUGGAUAUAACAAAUCUCUCCUAAAGAUUAGUUGCUGGUUCGAUUCCGGCUGGGGGUGCCA